GACGAACGCUGGCGGCGUGCUUAACACAUGCAAGUCGAACGGUGAUGCUCCAGCUUGCUGGAGUGGAUCAGUGGCGAACGGGUGAGUAACACGUGAGCAACCUGCCCCAGACUCUGGAAUAAGCGCUGGAAACGGCGUCUAAUACUGGAUACGAAACUGGCCCGCAUGGGCAUGGUUUGGAAAGUUUUUCGGUUUGGGAUGGGCUCGCGGCCUAUCAGCUUGUUGGUGAGGUAAUGGCUCACCAAGGCGACGACGGGUAGCCGGCCUGAGAGGGCGACCGGCCACACUGGGACUGAGACACGGCCCAGACUCCUACGGGAGGCAGCAGUGGGGAAUAUUGCACAACGGGCGAAAGCCUGAUGCAGCGACGCCGCGUGAGGGAUGACGGCCUUCGGGUUGUAAACCUCUUUCAGCAGGGAAGAAGCGAAAGUGACGGUACCUGCAGAAGAAGCACCGGCUAACUACGUG
rnacentral:rRNA from 1 species